UACGUAGGGGGCAAGCGUUGUCCGGAUUUAUUGGGCGUAAAGAGCGUGUAGGCGGCCUGACAGGUCUGCUGUGAAAACUCGAGGCUCAACCUCGAGAUGUCGGCGGAAACCGUCUGGCUAGAGUCCGGAAGAGGAGAGUGGAAUUCCUGGUGUAGCGGUGAAAUGCGCAGAUAUCAGGAAGAACACCCGUGGCGAAGGCGGCUCUCUGGGACGGUACUGACGCUGAGGCGCGAAAGCGUGGGGAGCGAACAGG
rnacentral:rRNA from 1 species